GUAGAGAUGGCUUACUGGUUGAGAGCACUGGCUGUUCUUCCAGAGGUCCUGGGUUCAAUUCCUAGCACUUACA
rfam:Rattus norvegicus chromosome 10, whole genome shotgun sequence.